rnacentral:rRNA from 1 species
AAUAGAUACCCGGGUAGUCCACGCCGUAAACGAUGAGUGCUAAGUGUUAGAGGGUUUCCGCCCUUUAGUGCUGAAGUUAACGCAUUAAGCACUCCGCCUGGGGAGUACGGCCGCAAGGCUGAAACUCAAAGGAAUUGACGGGGGCCCGCACAAGCGGUGGAGCAUGUGGUUUAAUUCGAAGCAACGCGAAGAACCUUACCAGGUCUUGACAUCCUCUGACAACCCUAGAGAUAGGGCUUCUCCUUCGGGAGCAGAGUGACAGGUGGUGCAUGGUUGUCGUCAGCUCGUGUCGUGAGAUGUUGGGUUAAGUCCCGCAACGAGCGCAACCCUUGAUCUUAGUUGCCAUCAUUUAGUUGGGCACUCUAAGGUGACUGCCGGUGACAAACCGGAGGAAGGUGGGGAUGACGUCAAAUCAUCAUGCCCCUUAUGACCUGGGCUACACACGUGCUACAAUGGACGGUACAAAGAGCUGCAAGACCGCGAGGUGGAGCUAAUCUCAUAAAACCGUUCUCAGUUCGGAUUGUAGGCUGCUAA